rnacentral:rRNA from 1 species
AGAGUUUGAUCCUGGCUCAGGACGAACGCUGGCGGCGUUAACACAUGCAAGUCGAACGGUGAAGCCCCUUCGGGGGUGGAUCAGUGGCGAACGGGUGAGUAACACGUGAGCAACCUGCCCAUGACUCUGGGAUAACCCCGGGAAACCGGAGCUAAUACCGGAUACGACACGCGAGGCAUCCUCUGCGUGUGGAAAGAUUUAUUGGUCAUGGAUGGGCUCGCGGCCUAUCAGCUUGUUGGUGGGGUAACGGCCUACCAAGGCGACGACGGGUAGCCGGCCUGAGAGGGCGACCGGCCACACUGGGACUGAGACACGGCCCAGACUCCUACGGGAGGCAGCAGUGGGGAAUAUUGCGCAAUGGGCGAAAGCCUGACGCAGCGACGCCGCGUGAGGGAUGAAGGCCUUCGGGUUGUAAACCUCUUUCAGCAGGGAAGAAGCGCAAGUGACGGUACCUGCAGAAGAAGCACCGGCUAACUACGUGCCAGCAGCCGCGGUAAUACGUAGGGUGCAAGCGUUGUCCGGAAUUAUUGGGCGUAAAGAGCUCGUAGGCGGUCUGUCGCGUCUGGUGUGAAAACUCGGGGCUUAACUCCGGGCCUGCAUCGGGUACGGGCAGACUAGAGUGCGGUAGGGGAGACUGGAAUUCCUGGUGUAGCGGUGAAAUGCGCAGAUAUCAGGAGGAACACCGGUGGCGAAGGCGGGUCUCUGGGCCGUAACUGACGCUGAGGAGCGAAAGCAUGGGGAGCGAACAGGAUUAGAUACCCUAGUAGUCC